CAUACUGUUUUUCCAGAUGAAAUUUAUCAUGUUGAAGUGUGGUCUGUUUGCCUAGGGACAAAUAAGAAAAAUUCAGUUAACUCAUAUAGAUCAGAUCAUAAGUUAAUUUUACUCUAGUAAAUGGAGGGAAGUGAAUGCAGGUGUUCGUCAAGAGCUGUCUGCGAGGUGAGUUUGUCCUUCGUCCUGGGCACACCACAGCCCGUUUUCAGGAAGAAAGUCUAAGUGGAUGGACAGUAGAGGAAGCACCGUGUGCUGUAAAUGAAAAACACAUAGUAUUUGUCUACUAGUGAGGUGACUUGUUUUUGUUUUCCCCCAGAUUUAAAACCAUUUUAACAUUGUCUCUUGCUUUCCUCUGUAACUACCAGAUUUUUGGGUGUGUGUGUAGACACACACACGUCCCACUCAUGCCACACUUGGUUAUUAUGUGCGGUUCCUCCUCAGGAGUGUGACGUUUAGUGCUGUGCAAGUAGCUUUAAUAGGAUUAUGUUUUUGAGUGGACUUAACACAUUUCUGACAUUUCAUGCCUUUUAAGAAGUGAUUGCAUCAGGAGUUCUGCGUUUACUCCCUCAGGCCCCUGUCUGCCCCCCAACAUGUACAUGUCAGCCGUGUACAGCCCUGUUGGUAGAGCACCGUCCACUACAUACGUGGUGAUACGAAGCUCCCGUAACACCUGUACAGCGUCCGGGCACUUUUCUGAGUGCGUUACAAGUAUAGUUCUGUAUUUAUUUAAUUUGCAACAGCCUUAUGAGGUAAGUAUGCUUCCUGCUACCCCCCACUUUAAGAGCGGCAGCUGCAGCACAAAACAGGCAGCUUACCUGCUCUGAGCCCCACAGCUGGCCUGUAGCGGGAUCCGGCCCAGGCAGGGUGGCUCUCUGCCCCGACGCUGGGUCCGUAGUUGGCCCGCCAGAGGUUACAGAGGAAGCAGGAAAGGAGAUACGCUUCGAGUACAGACUUUGAAGGAAAAUGUCAUAUUAGUAAAGUGUCACUAUUUCUUCUUUCUCAUUGGAUUUAAUUUUAUUGUGUCAUUUAUCAAAACUUAAUGUAUUAUCAUGAAUGAGACAAUACAAAGUUUUAAGUCUUUAGGGAUUUUUUUUUGUUGAUGUGUAAAAGAUUUAUACUGGGAUUUUUUUUUUAACUAUGAAGAAAAUCAGUUUAGAGCCAAGUUAUAGAGGUGACCUGAUUGUAUUUGCCAUAGUAAACAGUUAAGUCAGUAUUUGACUUCUAGAGAUUUUCAUGGGGGAGCACAGUUAAUCCUGUCUUCUUUAAAAAUAAAAUUCAUGUACAAUAAGA